GUGGUUAAGGCAUACGGGGUGCAGGCAGAGAGGAGAAACAGCUCCUACUGUCCUGUCUCACAGUGGACUAACCAGACUUGUCAACAGUUCAUUGGACCUUUCAAAACAGCUAAUAGAUAGAUCGCCAGUAUCCUCAACACCUUUGUGCUGACAUGGUAUCAAAUGCCAGUAUCUGUUGCUCCUCUGAGCUCCUGAGAGAACUAACUCUCUGAGAUGACGAGGGACGCCGAACUGAGAUGCAAGCAAAGCUUCAAGUCUCACAGCGACGUCACACAGGGCAACAGUCACCUGCUUCCUAGGGCAGGUUCGGGAGGCACUGCCUCUGGAGAGUUGAGCCACCUGGAAAGGGAGAACUCCAGACAGCUGACUGGAUCCCUCUUCUGCAUGCAUCCAGAUGUUUGACGUCGUGUAAACAAGACAAUGUGCCCGCGAGCAGGAGCCACUCAGGAAUUAAAACUCUGUCACAGUA
rnacentral:sRNA from 1 species